GAGCAAUCCAUCUAUACAGCAGAAUCAAACUGUGAGUAGUUUGUUGGUGAUUUUACAGAAUUUUCUCUGAUGUCACUCCUUGUGAUUAUACAAAUGAUUAAGGCUGGUAUUUUUUUUCCAAGAAAGGUGGCAACCCUAACUACUCUUCACAUACUCUUGCUUAAAGGAGCACUAUAGGGCCAGGAACACAAUCAUGUAUUUCAGACUCUAUUAUGUUAAAACCA